UGCCGCUCCGUUUGCCUUUGAACACCUUGGCCACGACCUACGCCUAUGCGGACACACGAAGAGGGGGCAACACUCGUGGCUCUGGUAUUUAU